rnacentral:misc_RNA from 1 species
GAAAGAAUAUUUUGUAACUCCUGAAGAUGGAGGGUGGGAAAGUUGAUAUUUAAAAGAAGACUAAAAAAAGGAGAGAGUUAAAAAUUUAAGUAAAUGAAUGAGGGAGACAGAGUCAAGCAAGUAGAUGGCAACAAGCUAUGAGGUAGCUCUAGUGUUAUGCCAAGUGGCGCUAAUAUAAGAAUUCAAUUUUACAAUAAUACGAGGCCACAUGGCAACAAGCUGUGAGCCUAUUUUAGUGCUCAGCUUUAUUAUAUUUAUA